rnacentral:rRNA from 1 species
CAGUCGCCGCGGUAAUACGGAGGGUGCAAGCGUUAUCCGGAUUUAUUGGGUUUAAAGGGUUCGUAGGCGGACUUAUAAGUCAGUGGUGAAAGCCUGUCGCUUAACGAUAGAACUGCCAUUGAUACUGUAAGUCUUGAGUAUAUUUGAGGUAGCUGGAAUAAGUAGUGUAGCGGUGAAAUGCAUAGAUAUUACUUAGAACACCAAUUGCGAAGGCAGGUUACCAAGAUAUAACUGACGCUGAGGGACGAAAGCGUGGGUAGCGAACAGGAUUAGAUACCCGUGUAGUCCCUGUCUCUUAUAC